UGGGGAAUAUUGCACAAUGGGCGCAAGCCUGAUGCAGCCAUGCCGCGUGUGUGAAGAAGGCCUUCGGGUGUAAAGCACUUUCAGCGAGGAGGAAGGUGGUGAGCUUAAUACGCUCAUCAAUUGACGUUACUCGCAGAAGAAGCACCGGCUAACUCCGUGCCAGCAGCCGCGGUAAUACGGAGGGUGCAAGCGUUAAUCGGAAUUACUGGGCGUAAAGCGCACGCAGGCGAUUUGUUAAGUCAGAUGUGAAAUCCCCGGGCUCAACCUGGGAACUGCAUUUGAAACUGGCAAGCUAGAGUCUCGUAGAGGGGGGUAGAAUUCCAGGUGUAGCGGUGAAAUGCGUAGAGAUCUGGAGGAAUACCGGUGGCGAAGGCGGCCCCCUGGACGAAGACUGACGCUCAGGUGCGAAAGCGUGGGGCAGCAAACAGGAUUAGAUACCCUGGUAGUCCACGCUGUAAAACGAUGUCGAUUUUGGAGGUUGUGCCCUUGAGGCGUGGCUUCCGGAGCUAACGCGUUAAAGUCGACCGCCUGGGGGAGUACGG
rnacentral:rRNA from 1 species